ensembl:lncRNA
GAACGAGGAUGAUUUAGAAAAAAUGAAUUCUUUGGAAACAGUAGAUAUAAACGAAAAUAUCAAUGUUAAUGCCAAUAUUAAUGCCAUUGUUAAUGCCAAUAUUAAUGCCANNNNNNNNNNCCAUUGUUAAUGCCAAUAUUAAUGCCAUUGUUAAUGCCAAUAUUAAUUUCCAAAAAAAUGGUGACACAAAUACAAACACAGUAAAUAAAAACGAUACUCCCCAAACGGAGAUAUUUACUCAUGAUAAUAAUAGUAAAAUAAACGAACAAAUAGAAACUAAUGAAACAUAUUUAAACAAUUUAUUACAUAUAGAAGAAGAAAAUUAUAAUACAUUUCAUGAUAUUAAACAGUAUAAUUUUUUUAAUGACAUAUUUGAAGAAAAAAAAAAAAACGCUUAUUCGGUUGAUAUUCUUUCGUAUAUUAUAUCAGAUAAUAACACAUUAUACAAUUUUAUUUAUCAUAAUUUUAUAAAAAAAAAUAUUUUGAAUUUUGAACAGGAAGAUGAAGAAAAUGGUGAUACUAAUCAGUUCGCAGAUGUAUAUUCGGGUCCAUAUCCGGGCCCCAAUACAUGUGCAGAUACAAGUACAAGUACAGGUACCGAUAAAGAUGCGCAUGAACAAAUGUCCUUUUGUAGCAUUUUUUAUAACAAUGUAAAAAAAAUUGACAAGAUUAUGGAACGAAUAUUUUUUUUAAUAAAAAACAGAAAUAUGUCAAUGUACAGUUGUGACUUAGAUCAUAGUAGUAUUAACAGUGACAGUCACAUGAGGAAUACCUCUACAGAGAUUAAAAAAAUACCAUUUAUUAAUAUUGAUAUAAAAAACGUUGAAGAAUUUUUAAAAACUUUUCAAUUUCAAGUUGUUAAGUUAACUAAUAUGAAUUUUAAUAUUUGUACUUUCAGCGAUACCAAGUAUAAACAGCUGGCUAUUAAAAAAAUGAAAAAGUUAUAUACAGCUUUUUCUAAGUGUAGAGAAGAUAGGGAUUAUGAUAAAUUUCUUUUUUGUCAAAUUGGAGGAGCAAUGAGAGAGACAAAGUACGAUAGUAAUUGUAACAAUAAUAAUGGAAAUAACGGAAACUUUGUUUUCCCAUAUUACAUAAACCAUAUACAUGAGCUGUGUUACAAUUACUACGAAAUUUUAUUUUUGUUUAAUAAUAUAAAAAAAUAUAAAAAAAAGACUUUGAAAUAUUUUUCUUUAUUUAAACACACAACUAUAUAUUUAGAUAUUAUAUUAAAUUCAAGUGAGGUUUAUUUUUAUUUUAAUUUCUUCACUAAAACGUUUGAUGAAUACAUAAAAAUUAGUUUAGAAAUGUUACAUUCUUUAAGUUAUCCUUUACAAUUUUUAGAACAUAAACAAUAUCUAUCAUAUAAAAGAGAAUUAUGUUUAAGAUGCGCUAUGUUACUAAAAGAUAUAUAUAUAUGUAAAAAAUUAAAUACAUGUAUUGAUAAUAUUUAUUACAAUUCAACUGUUGAAAAUAAACAAAAAAAUAUGAAUUUUGAUGAUAAUCUGAGUGGUAAUUUAUCUACUGAGUUAAAACAAAUUAUAUUACAAAUAUUGAAAUAUUAUUUUUUGUUUUUAAAUACUUCUGAAAAAGUUCGAGACAGGGCUAUUACAGCUAAUACAGCCACUACAGCUGACACAGUUACUACUGAACAAAUAAUUUUCGAAAACGAGGAAGAAAAAAAAUCAUACUUCGAUAUAUAUUUUUAUGUAUGUAAAACACUAUCAACAGUAGAAGAUAAACAUUUUAUAACACAAGCUAUUAACCAUUACCAAUUUUUAUUAAAUUACUCUUUUAAAAAUAAAUUAUAUUCAGAUGAAAAGUAUAAUGAAUAUAUGCAAACCCAUUGUAAAAAAUCUAUUUGUUUUUUGAAAUUAAAAUUGGACGAAGUGUAGUUAUUUAAAAGGGCGUGUUCAUCGUCUACAUAUACACAUAAAUAUUUAUAUAUAUAUAUAUAUAUAUUUAUUUGUAUAUGUAUUUAUUUGUAUAUGUAUUUAUUUAUAUAUGUAUUUAUUUAUAUAUUUAUUUAUAUGUAU